rnacentral:rRNA from 1 species
CACGUAGGGUGCGAGCGUUGUCCGGAAUUAUUGGGCGUAAAGAGCUCGUAGGCGGUGUGUCGCGUCGGCCGUGAAAACCUGCAGCUUAACUGUGGGCUUGCGGUCGAUACGGGCAUCACUGGAGUUCGGCAGGGGAGACUGGAAUUCCUGGUGUAGCGGUGAAAUGCGCAGAUAUCAGGAGGAACACCGGUGGCGAAGGCGGGUCUCUGGGCCGAAUACUGACGC